rnacentral:rRNA from 1 species
AGGUCAAGUGAAGAAGGGCGCACGGUGAAUGCCUUGGCACUGGAAGCCGAUGAAGGACGCGACUAACCGCGAAAGUCUUCGGGGAGCCGUAAGUAGGCUUUGAUCCGGAGGUCUCCGAAUGGGGGAACCCAGCAUGUGCAGACAUGCUAUCCUUAAGUGAAUACAUAGCUUAAGGAGGGAACACGCAGUGAACUGAAACAUCUAAGUAGCUGCAGGAAGAGAAAGAAAUAUCGAUUUCCCAAGUAGCGGCGAGCGAACAGGAAAGAGCCCAAACCGGCAGAUUUAUCUGCCGGGGUUGUAGGACUGAGACAUGGCACUUCAGAGGAUAGCAGAAGCGUUUGGGAAAGCGCGCCAGAGAGGGUGAGAGCCCCGUAAGCGAAAUCCAAAGGCCUAUCAGUAUCCUGAGUAGGGCGGGACACGUGAAAUCCCGUUUGAAUCCGCGAGGACCAUCUCGCAAGGCUAAAUACUAACCAGUGACCGAUAGUGAACCAGUACCGUGAGGGAAAGGUGAAAAGAACCCCGGGAGGGGAGUGAAAGAGAACCUGAAACCGUGUGCCUACAAGUAGUCAGAGCCCGUUAACGGGUAAUGGCGUGCCUUUUGUAGAAUGAACCGGCGAGUUGCGUUAGUCAGCAAGGUUAAGUCAGAAAAGACGGAGCCGUAGCGAAAGCGAGUCUGAAGAGGGCGAGCAGUUGGCUGACGCAGACCCGAAACCAAGUGACCUACCCAUGACCAGGUUGAAGGCGCGGUAAAACGCGCUGGAGGACCGAACCCACGUAAGUUGAAAAUUGCGGGGAUGAGUUGUGGGUAGCGGUGAAAUUCCAAACGAACUUGGAGAUAGCUGGUUCUCUCCGAAAUAGCUUUAGGGCUAGCCUCGCAAAGAGGAUGCUGGAGGUAGAGCUCUGUUUGGACUAGGGGCCCGUCAAGGGUUACUGAAUUCAGAUAAACUGCGAAUUCCAGACAUUUAUGUGCGGGAGUCAGACUGCGAGUGAUAAGAUCCGUAGUCGAAAGGGAAACAGCCCAGAUCACCAGUUAAGGUCCCAAAAUUCAUGCUAAGUGGAAAAGGAUGUGGAGUUGCGCAGACAACUAGGACGUUGGCUCAGAAGCAGCCAUCAUUCAAAGAGUGCGUAAUAGCUCACUAGUCGAGUGACGCCGCGCCGAAAAUUUACCGGGGCUAAGCAUGAUACCGAAACUGUGGAUGUGCGUUUAUGCACGUGGUAGGAGAGCGUUCUAGCGGCGGUGAAGCAUGACCGAGAGGACAUGUGGAGCUUCUAGAAGUGAGAAUGCCGGUAUGAGUAACGAAAGACAGGUGAGAAUCCUGUCCGCCGCAAGAC